GAUGAACGCUGGCGGCGUGCCUAAUACAUGCAAGUCGAGCGAACGGACGAGAAGCUUGCUUCUCUGAUGUUAGCGGCGGACGGGUGAGUAACACGUGGAUAACCUACCUAUAAGACUGGGAUAACUUCGGGAAACCGGAGCUAAUACCGGAUAAUAUUUUGAACCGCAUGGUUCAAAAGUGAAAGACGGUCUUGCUGUCACUUAUAGAUGGAUCCGGGCUGCAUUAGCUAGUUGGUAAGGUAACGGCUUACCAAGGCAACGAUGCAUAGCCGACCUGAGAGGGUGAUCGGCCACACUGGAACUGAGACACGGUCCAGACUCCUACGGGAGGCAGCAGUAGGGAAUCUUCCGCAAUGGGCGAAAGACUGACGGAGCAACGCCGCGUGAGUGAUGAAGGUCUUCGGAUCGUAAAACUCUGUUAUUAGGGAAGAACAUAUGUGUAAGUAACUGUGCACAUCUUGACGGUACCUAAUCAGAAAGCCACGGCUAACUACGUG
rnacentral:rRNA from 1 species